GCCGAUGUGGCGGAAUUGGCAGACGCGCUAGACUCAAAAUCUGGUACUCUUACGAGUGUGUGGGUUCGACCCCCUCCGUCGGCACCA
rnacentral:tRNA from 1 species